GAUGAACUGAUGAGUUUCCGGAGAAAGAGGAGAAUCAGAUGAGUUGAUCCAUGGCAUUGGAAGGAAGAAAACAAGGAUCUCACAAUCCACUUCCUUGGAGGGUUAGCGUCCUCGCUGAUGGCACAUUGCUUAGUGUCUGGUCUAAACCCACCACUAGUAGAUAUUGUCUAUUUUGGUACAUUACAUAUCAUUGUCAGUCUCACAGUCAUAAAAUGUGUCUACUAAGGAGAAAUUCCAUACCCUUAUAAACAAUGCUUUGUUCCCCUCUCCAACCUAUCAUUGUCAGCCUCACAGUCAUAAAAUGCUUCUACUAAUGAGAGGUUUCAUACUCUUAUAAGAAUGUUUUGUUCCCCUUUCCAACUUAUUUGGGAUCUCACACCAUACUUCCACAUUAUUUAUACUAAACUUAUUUUUAGGAUAUUUGAACAAAUGUAUGAUACAUCAUUGUUUACACAUCACUAUAAUUGAAAAUUUUAUUUGUAAUCAAAA